rnacentral:lncRNA from 1 species
UCACUCCUACUCUCUCUAUCUUCUCUCUAUCUUUAUCUCUUUCCCCCUCAAUAACCAUGGCAGCCGCCACCAUCUUCCGCCACCCCAAACUGGGGAACUCCAUCGAUGUCACCGCUUCUCUCAGGCGAACUUAUCUCUGCCACCAACAUGCGGCCGACUAGCCAGAUCCGCCAGACCACUAGUGCCAUCAAUGGUAAAAACAACGAUGGCUAGUCUUCCCAAGCUAUCAAAUCUCUCCAGUAAAAAGCCAUGGCCGCCGUCCUCUUUUCUUCAGCAUCGCCGGUUGCCGCUGUGCAAAACGCCAUGCAGUCAGUAAGAACAGUCCAACCACCAUCCACGGUGACAAUGUCGUCGCCCCGUGACUCAGUCCACCACCUCCAUCUCCUUCGAUCUAUUCUCCCAAUCACCUAGAUCUGCUCUUCCACCAACACUGCCAGUCGCCACCACUGCCCAUUUCAGAAAACGAUGGGUCUCAGAAACCCAUCCACAGGUUUAACCCAAGUAUUUAGAUAUCUGUGUUUAAUUUUAUACUAAUUCUUCUUCUUUUUUUCUUUGAAAAAUUUUGGAUUCGAAAUUAACAAAGUAUGAUUGAUCUCUUUGUCUGAUUCUCUGCUAUUUGAGUUUGUUUAUGUGAUAAGACUAUUAUAUGUAAAAAGCCCCAAAUUCCAUGUCUAGGUGCUACUUUUUGAGAUUCUUGGUUGAAGUAUUUAUUUUUUUCAGUAUCAUGUUACUACUUACUGACUUUUAGCAUGUCUCUCUUUCAGUUUGACAUAUUUUGGUUAAUUAGUUAAUUCGGGAUUGCUACAAUCAAUAUGUUAUAUGACGUAGAGGUUAGCCUGUCUUUUAGUGAACUCCUUGAUUUCAUUAUUCCUUCACUUAUUCGCCUUCAUUUGGUAAACUUGACUCAUCUCACUUUAAUUAUGAUGAUUGUUAUCGUGACAGAUUCUGGUUGGUUAUACAUGUUGUUGAUUAAUCGUUUUUCUAAAUAUUAGCUUUUUCUUUUAUUUUCUUGGGGAUGAAUUUUGACAUAAUUGAUUAUAGCAUUUUGUUUGAGGAAACUUAAUAGCCUUGAUUGACUUAUCAAAUAUUCUCUUAUUUCUUUGGCUGAACUUUACAAGAUUUCAUACUCUUAAUUGUGUUAGUUGAAAAAGGAAAUUGGAGGGAUUGAUUUUUCUUUGAUUGAAUAUUAUUAGUUAAUUAAUUUUAUGUUUAGAGAAAAUAUCCUUGACUGAUUGCAUUGAAUAUUUAUUUUUCUUUUAUUUCCUUGACUGAACUUUGCCUAAUCUGUCAUUAUUGUUUGAUACAAGUGUUUAUGGUAAAUUUGUUCUUUUUAUAUCCUAAAAUUGAUUCAAUCUUUUUCUAAUUAAAGAAAAUAUUCUGACUGAUUGUUAAAAUAUUCUCCUUCUCCAUGAUUGAUUCUGAUUGAUUUUAAAAUAUUUCUUCCUUUUAUCCUAUGGACCCCUUUGCUAUAUAAACAACCCCCAUCCUCAUUCCCAAGGACAAGCCAUUUACAACUUACGCUCUCUCACACGAAAACUUUAAACAAAUAAAUAAUUUUAUUUUAUUAUUUCUGUACUUAUCUUUGGAGCAUUAAUCUUGAGCUUUUGGUGGAAAUUCAUUCUCGAAUCGCAUGCAUCCUUGGUUUUCUUUUUAUUAUUAUUUGUUGUCAUCGACCGGUAAGUCACUAAUCGAUGCAUUCUUUUCUUAUCCCAUAAUAUUUGUGAUGGCAAAACAUAGAAAACAUGUCUAUAGGAACUAGUGUGAACGAUGAUGUUGUGCUUGGUUGUGAUGUCUUUGUGCUUUUGUUUAAGACAACAUGUUCGUAUGUUCGAGUGUUCCUUUUUGUGCUUGCCCUGCUCUUUUGCUCGGAUUUGACAGGUACUAAGCAACAUUGGAAAAGUUGUCAGGGUUUUGGGAUGGGUGUUGUUUAUUUCUCAUUAGUCUACCAUUCUCUUUUAUUAGUCUUUUGUUAGCCAUGAGCCUGUAAUAUUAUUGUACAAACACUAUUGAUGUAAUAAUAAAUUUUGGGAAUUGCUUCGGGGGUGGAGAUUUAUGUGCUCUAUGAAUCACAUAGGCUAACACAACUUAGGUAUACAUGCUCUAUAUGUUAUGUGAAUCACCUAGGUAAACAUAAUUUAGGAUUCAUUAAUUAAAUUGUCGAUCACUUAGAAAUCCUGAUUUUAGGAGUUUAACUGAUUUUGCAUAAUUAUAAUUUCUUGCAACGCUUGUUUCUUUCGGCAUGUUUAAUGAAAUUUGGCAUAUUACGAAUGACAUUUUUUUGCAUCUUUUUAAUUUUACAACGUUCAAGCAACAUUUUUAAACUCACUAGCUAAAUCUCCUACAUUUUAAAGUGAAAUCUAGUGCAUUAAAUCAUUCUCUGGUGCAUAAAAUGAUUGAUUGCAGUAUGUGUCUCGCAUGGUAAAGUCAUUGUCGACACAUGUUAAGUUCUUGCAUAUCGUCGCGUGGUUUUCAACGUACCAACGGUGUCUAAGCAUGAUAAUUUUGUGAGCAUGUUAACAAUUAAACUUGAGUACGUUUUUGCAUGUUAAAACAAAUUUUAGCAUUAUUAGAGUACAUUUCUGCACGUUAAAAUAAAUUUCAGCAUUAUUAGUGUAAGUUUCUGCACAUUAAAACAAAUUUCAGCAUUAUUAGCGUAUGUUUUUGCACAUUAAAAUAAAUUUCAGCAUUAUUAGGGCAUGUUUCUGCACAUUAAAAUAAAUUUCAGCAUUUUAAAACUACUUUCAGCAUGUUAGUAUUAAAAUUUAAACAUGUUAACAUUAAAUUCCUGCACUAUUAACAUAUUUUUAGCAUGUUAGAAUAUUAAAUGCGAGGCAUUUUUAGUAUGUUAUUGUAUUAUAUUCCUGCACACUAAUACAACUGCCAGCAUGUUAAAAAGUAGGUUUUUAAGCAUUUUUAACAUAUUAAACACUAGAUUAAGUACAUCAUUAUGUACCUUAGCAUGUUGAUGUAUUUUCAAUAUUGUGUUUAUUUCUUACACUCUCAUUAGUUUAUAACACUUGCACAAUGAAAGUCGGUCAAUUGGUCGGAUGAUGAUUAAACAAGUUGGGGUUCUGAUCCGAAUGUGACCGAAAACAUUUUUUUGUUUGAUUUGAUGAAUUCUUUUUUUAUUUUUUAUUUACUUUACAUGCUUAUUUAUUUGGGGUAGUUAGUUUAGUACAUAAGCAGUCCCCUUCUGUUAUAAAUUAUGUCAUUUCUUUCUCCUCGUUUAUCCUAUUAUAUAUUUUUAUCACUUAGAUAAUUAACAAUUUGAAAUAAUAAGAUAAUAUGUUUUGUUCAUUAAUUGUUUUAUCACUUAGUUAAAUAUUAAAUUAAUAAUAAAAUAAGAGAUCUUAUUUGAUCACAUAGAAUCCUCACGUAAAAUAUAAAUUCGGCCGGGAACCACCUUUGUGGACCUCGAAAGGUGCCUAACACCUUCCUUCUGAAGUAAUUUGAACCCUUACCCGAAUCUUUGUUGAAUUAAGACAAAACAACAAAAUAGGUUCGUAGUAGCCUAGAUCGAUGUCCUAACACACCUUAAUUCAUUAGGUGGCAACUCUUCAUACUCUACCCUUAAAGAAUCUCAAAAAGAGUGGUCACGUCGAAUCUCGCUUUGCUGGGAUCUUUGGUUCUAACCAUUACAAAUUUGUGCUUUAUGUGGGAUUCUCUCCAUUUGUUUUGAUAAUGUUUAAUCUCCUGAUUUAUUUUCUAUAUGUUCUUCUUUUAGCGUUUGAUUACAUCAUGAUUUAUUAGUCCUUUCUCCUUUUCACUUUAUGUGUUAUUUACAUUUCUCCAUGUUCAUUUCUUUUCCUUUUUCCCUAUUUAUUGUUUAUGCAUUAUUAUGUUCAUUUAUACGUAUGUUGUUUAGCAUGUUAUAUUUCACUAUGUGAUAUGUGUUAUUGCUUUUUAUAAUUGGCAUUUCGCUCAUACUUUCCUCUGCUUGGAACCUCCUUUAUUUUUUUUUACGGACGGUUGCAUGGUUAUACGGACGUUCUUUCCUAAAGCACCCUUUGAAAAAUGUCUUGUGGAUCGGUUGAUCAGCGUUGUGUCGACAGUCACAAGCUUUCCCACUCUCGAGUUGUCCACUUGAGUUCUACCAUGUCACAAACCCACUUUUGUCCUUUUUAUUUUGGCUACAUAUUUCUUUUAUUAAGAAAUAUGUGUCCCAUUCAAUGCAGGAUGCCUUGGCAUCCUUGACGCAUUGAAUGUUAGUCUCAUUCAAAGUCCAAAGAGGUUCAUGACCUCAAAGGGACUCAUAAUUACUUGCUAUAUAUUGCAUUUCUAUGUAUGUAUUGACAUGUGCCUAUCUUGUUGUUAGUCACUCCUUACAUUUAGUGUUCCUCACUUUAGAGCUCGUUACUCUUAAAAUUCUUGUCAUGUUAGGUCCUUACAAUACACUCUUAGGGCCUAUUCAAAAUUCCCUAAUUCAUCCCAACCUGCUAUUCAAUUUUUAUAACUCUCAAAAUUUUGAACUACGUCUGACCUGAUUCUUGUUUCAAUAAGAUACGUAGGCAAUCCCUUUGUAAGGAUGCAAUCUUCCUUUUCCCUUUUUUUAUAAAACGUCCUAAUAUUUGAAAAUAUGAACCAAUCAUUAUCAUUCCAACAAUUUUUCUAUCAAAUCAUAUCCUCCAUAUCUUUCACCUUUCCAUAAUGCCAUAAGGGUGCAACUUAGAAGUUUUUUUAUUCAAAUGAUUUUUCACAAUCUUUCAAACUCUCAAACAUUUCAAACUAAAUACUUCAAAAUGUUCAAAACUUUGUGAAUCUUUAAUUCUUCCAUUUAUUCAAAAUAAUUUCUUUAAACAUUAUAUCCCUGCAAUAUUUUAUCAUUAUUCACUUGUUCACUUAAUCAGCUUCAAGUAUGAAUUUAGUAUCUAAGUCUUUGUGAGAAUCUAUCUUCCAUCUUGUGAUGUCAAUUUAUUUUUCAACCUUAAAAUUCUAACCCACCCAUUCGUCCUAAAGUCCUCCUUGACAAAAUGACUCAUAUCGACAUACUAUCUCUUUUCACAUUGAGCACACUGAUACUUAUUUUGUUUAGUUUAUUAUUUAAAGGUUGUCUAGCGUUUGAACAUCGACUCGAUUGAAAAUCUGCAAUGUGACCAAUAUGCUCAAUAUCCGGAAAGAUUACAUCCUGUUUUUCUCUCACUCAAGGUAAAACUCUGUUUAGACGGAACCUCUUUAUUCUCGCGUUAUUCAUGUACCCUCUCAACAAUUUCCUUCUACAUUCACCACUCUUGAAAAUGGGAGACACCGUUAGUCUACAUUUAUUCACCUUAUGAAUAAAUAAUAUUUUCUAUCUUAUCUACCUUUCUUUUUACUCACGAACAACAUUCGACCUAACUUUCAUUCGGAGGCAGCCCACUCUAGGUCCGGUCUUAAUCUAAUAAAAAAUUUUCUCUCCCCACUUUCUUUCAAUUCUUACAAUUCCAAAAUGACAGGCUAAUAGACCCAACUCUUGAGCAUAUAAAGGCAGAUUACAAUUGAGGUUGCAAUAUUCAAAUGUAGGACAACCAUUUCUCUUAGAAUAAUGUUUUCUUUGAGUGGCUCAGGAAUAUGAUACUCCAAAAUCCAAAAUUGGGGCAUAAUUUUUGAGGUUUCAAUAAAACCUCAAAAAUUUCACAAGUAAACAAUAUAUCAAUGACGUGCAAAAAAUGCCUUUCAUUCUAAAUUGGGGCAGAAAUUUUUGAGAAUUUCUCAAAAAUUUCACCAUGAUAAGUACAAGUUCCAACGGUCCAUGAAGCAGAAAUAAUGACCAAAGAGUCAAAUUGAGCAAGGUACGAAUCAACAUUUUUUUGACUAACAAUUUUUCUUUGUGUACAAACAACAGGUACUAAAUGCAACAACGAUGUUGUGAUAUCAUCAAAGAGGC